rnacentral:lncRNA from 1 species
CGCCAGCGCGCAUAUUCGUAUCUACCUCUUUCCUUUUCUCUCUCUCUCUCUCUCUCUCUCUCUCUCUCUCCCUCUCUUACUCUCCCUCUCUCCUGUUUGUUCUUCAACUAUCUCUCUCCAUUUCACAAAAACACGCGCGCUCACACACACACACACACGCUUACAUGCACAUGGUUACACGCACACACACGCGCUAUAACACUCACAUUCUCACACCGCUACCCACUCCUCGCUAUACGCACGCGCACACUCACUCAUUCACUCGUUCACUUCCUCCCCCCUCUCUCUCUCCCCUAUUCCCUCCCCCUCUCUCUCACUCACUUGUUCACUCACUCAACGUCUAACAACACCACUGGAACAAGCUAUGAGUCGCUCUUAAGUGAAGGCACUGACUCUACAGGCACUCGAGUUGGAAGUCUUUUAACAGGAGACACACGAGUUUCGUGUGCGGAGAGCGCGCGCGCGCGUCUGUGAGUGUUUUGUGUGUAUAUAUAUAUGUAUGUACAAAGAUAUGUAUAUAUACACUCAUAUUGAUAUAUAUGUAUAUAUAUAGUUACCUGUCUAUUUAUUAUGCGUGCGGACAGAAGUAUUGCGGUCAUCCAAACUACACACGGUAGUCAAAUAUAUAAAUAUACUCUGUGAAUCUUAUGUGAACCACAAACAAUAACUAAACAAAGAAAAAAAAAGAAAAAAAAAAACAGACAUAUACAUAUACACACACACGCAAACACACAUACAGUCACACACACACACACAUAUAAAUAUAUAUAUAUAUAUAUAUAUAUAUAUAUAUAUAUUUAUAUACAUACGAAAACCGCAUACACAAUCAAUAAAUUUACAGUCAAGUGCUUACAUAUACAUACAUACGUGUACGUAAUUAUACACUUAUACAUGCAUACAGACGCACAUAUAUACCCACACAUAUAAACAAGCACAUGCUUACAUCAAUGCUAAUAUAGAUACAUAUACACAAACAUAUACAUAUAAAUGUAUAUAUUUAUAUAUAUAAAUAUAUAAAUAUAUAUAUAUAUUUGAAAUUCACCACACUGUUGACAUGUACAAAAACAUACAAAAAUAUACAAUUGUACAUUAAUAUGAAUACAAAUAUAAGAGAACACGAAAAAACAUACAUAUAAGCUCAUACACAGACUCACACACAUACCCAUGCAUACUGGCACAUGAACACAAACAAACGAUUACACACAUAAACGCAUACUAAUCAUUCACACACUAUCACACACACACACACACAUACACACUCAGGCACAUACACACACACACUCACACAUACACAUACACACACAUACAUUACAUUUAUUCAAAGUGAAAUAACAAACAUAACAAUAAUUAAACAACAGCAACCACCACAACAAUAAUAAUCUUCAGCAAUUGUUUAUUAUUAUUAUUAUUAUUAUUAUUGGAGGCAUCAUCAUCGCCACUGUUAUCAACAACAGCAAAAGCAUCAACACCAUCACUAACAACAACAACAACAACAACAACAACAACAUCAUUAUCAUCAUUAUUAUCGUCGUGGUCAACUUUAUCGUCAUUACCAUCGGUUCUAUGAGAGAGGACGACCGGAGUGUAAAUGACAACAGAGAACCUAUAGCGCUGUAUGCCGGAAAUGAGGUAGGCAAAACUUUUAUAUGCACACACAUGCACGCGCG